rnacentral:rRNA from 1 species
UACAGAGGUCUCAAGCGUUGUUCGGAUUCAUUGGGCGUAAAGGGUGCGUAGGCGGCGCGGUAAGUCGGGUGUGAAAUCUCGGAGCUUAACUCCGAAACUGCAUUCGAUACUGCCGUGCUUGAGGACUGGAGAGGAGACUGGAAUUUACGGUGUAGCGGUGAAAUGCGUAGAUAUCGGGAGGAACACCAGUGGCGAAGGCGACUACCUGGCCUGUUCUUGACGCUGAGGCGCGAGAGCUAGGGGAGCAAACGGG